rnacentral:lncRNA from 1 species
CUCCAGAAUGACAGGUCCUCCAGAAGACCUGUGUCUACCAAAAUCCUACAUGGUUGAUCAAUUACUUCAUUAAAAAAUUAUCGCCUUCAGGCCGGGCGCAGUGGCUCACGCCUGUAAUCCCAGCACUUUGGGAGGCCGAGGUGGGUGGAUCACAAGGUCAGGAGAUCGAGACCAUCCUGGCUAACACGGUGAAACCCUGUCUCUACUAAAAAUACAAAAAUUAGCCGGGCGUGGUGGUGGGCAUCUGUAAUCUCAGCUACUCAGGAGGCUGAGGCAGGAGAAUCGCUUGAACCUGGGAGGUGGAGGUUGCAGUGAGCCGAGGUCGCGCCAUUGCACUCCAGC